rnacentral:rRNA from 1 species
UACGUAGGGGGCAAGCGUUGUCCGGAUUAUUGGGCGUAAAGAGCGUGUAGGCGCCAGACAGGUCCGUUGUGAAAACUAGAGGCUUAACCUCUAGACGUCGAUGGAAACCGUCUGGCUAGAGUCCGGAAGAGGAGAAUGGAAUUCCUGGUGUAGCGGUGAAAUGCGCAGAUAUCAGGAAGAACACCCGUGGCUAAGGCGGUUCUCUAGUACGGUACUGACGCUGAGACGCGAAAGCGUGGGGAGCGAACAGG